UCGUUUUUAAUGAAACAUACAUUCUCGUAUGAACCUUUCUUCGAUUUUUCACAUAGCAGUUGAUUUCGUACGAGGUGCCGUAAUUUUUGGCUGUUAUAUCGAAAUUAGUUCCAUUAAAACCACAGCAUCAACACAUUCGCAUGCACAAAAUCACAUUAUCACACAGUUUCUACUAUACAUAUAUACAUCUCGACACACCAAACACCUCAGUUUUGCAUGACUACACACAAAAACUACAUUCUACUCUUUGAAGAACAUCAUCUACAUUGCCAACAUUAUAUUCUGUCAUUAUUUGCUAUACACUUGCAUGUAUCCAUAUACAAAUAAAAUACUUCAUAACAUUUUAUUUUGUUUUGAAGCGUUUCAUAUAUCACUUCAGAAAUAUUCGGUAAGUAAUCAUGAACAUAGAUCAUACAUCAUUUUUUAUGAGAAUUAUACUCGACGAAUUCGGGAGGCAUGCAUCUUUCAUUAUCAAUCUCAAAACUCAUUCUACAAUCAUUUCACAUCAUCAGCCAUGUAUCUUCAAUCACAAAUCAGAAAUCACGGAUCAUUAUUCCUCACAUGAAUAAAGAAUCACAUACCAUUAGUCAUUAAUCGAAAAUCAUUGAUCACAUAUUGUAAAGCAUUGACCAUAAAUCAUAGUACAUGAAAAAAAUACCAUUAAUCGUAAAUCAAUAAUCAUAAGUCAUAAACCAUUCAUCAUAAAAUUCAAUUCAUUGACGGCAAGUUAUAAUUCAUAUAUCCGAAGUCAUAUGCAUUAUUUCAUAUUCAUCCUUAAGAAUUUCAAUUUUAAGAAUGUUUCGCUGAUCUGCACAUCUCUUUAUUCAUUGUUUUACAUUUUACAGAACUAUUUAUUUCGCAUGAUUUAUUCAUGAGCCAUAGUAUUCGAUGAUCACUGCCAUUAAGCAUGCAUUAUACAUUCAUCAAUCAUUAUGCAUGGUUCUUGAUUCAUAUCAUUCAUUUGUCAUUUCAGAAUUUAUUUUUUCAGUCAUCAGUCAUUAUGCAUGAUUCUUAAUUUAUCUCAACAGUUCGUUCACUUGUCAUACAACAUAUAUUUUUCAUUAAUCAAUCAUUAUGCAUGGUUCUUCUUCAUUUCAUAAGUUCAUUCACUUGUCAUUUCUGCAUUUAUUUUUCAGUCUUCAAUCAGUAUGCAUGAUUCUUAAUUUAUCUCAAUAUGCAACAUUUAUUUUUCAUUCACCAAUCAUUGCGCAUGGUUUAUUCAUAAUUCAUUUUUUUCAAUUCAUGCAUGAGACUCAUUUUCACUUCAUUUCAUAUAUGAUUAUAGUUUAAAUUUGAUAUUCAAUCAUCGAUCAUCAUUCAUUGAUCGUUCUUUAUUCAUUGCACCCGCAGUACAUUAUUCAUCCCAUAUUUGUUUGCAUGAUUCAAAGAUUACUUAUUCAAAAUUUUAGCAAAAUAUUUCAAAUAAUUCAUCAAAAAUCAUGUUGUUUCAACUAUUCGCUAUCACAAUUUCCAAUAAGUCAUUAAAAUUUUUCACUCAUUAUUCAUUUUGAUCAGUUGUCAUUUAUUGCAUGCCACAUUUAUUCCCAUAUAGGAUAAACAUUCAUAGAAGUUUUACAUGUUGAGUACUUAAAAACAGAGCAUGAAAAUCAAUAUCAGUCAUAAUUCUCAAUUAGUCAUUGAAAAAUCACUUUGAAUCAUGUUUUCAUUAUUCAUGAAAAUCAUCUGCCAUCAAAGUCAGUCAACGAAUCUCAUUAUAUUUGCAUGUUCAUAAAAAUUUUGCAUGUUGAAUGCUUGAAAAAAUGUAUCAAUCUUUACACAUCAAUCAUAAAUCAUUUAUUUAUUCAUUUGCUGCAUGCCAUAUUCAAUCAAACUUCAUCCAUCAUUAUUAUUUAAUCAUACUUAUCACUUUUCUAUAUGAGGAGUUCAUUGAUAAUUCAUCAUUGUUCACAUCAUAUAUCAUCUGAUAUUUGUCAUAUUCCAUCCAUUAUCAAUAAUAUUUCAUAUAUCAUUUUUCAUAUACAGUCCGUCAUAUACAAAUUAGAAUCAAUCAUCUGUCAACAGGCGUUUAUUACUCGUCAAUUAUCUAUCAUCUUUCAUUAUAUUCUAUCGAUCACAGAGAUAGAUCAUCUGUCAUUUAUUAUCUGCAGAUAUUCCAUUUGUCACUUAUUAUCUACCAUCUUGUCAUAUUUGUCACUUUUCAUAUAUCAGCCAUUAUUUAUUCAGAAUGCAUAUUAUUUAUCAUCUUCAUCUAUUAUCUGUCACCUGUCAUACAUCAACUG